GGAAAAGGGAAGCUGGUACUUCGUUUUUCAGGACGACGGAAUAUAUUUGUGAAAUAAAAUAAAAUACCGCUUGUACUGCUGAGGAAGACGCCUGUUUUCUGAUUUUGCAGAAACAUUGCAGGUGGCUUGUACAGCUCCUUAUGGCUCUUGAUUACUUGCAUGGAAAUCACAUUCUUCACCGAGAUGUGAAGUGCUCCAAUAUUUUUAUUUCCAGGAGCCAAACUAUAAGACUUGGCUUGCAAAAAAUAUUGACUUCUGAUGAUCUGG